ACGGGAGGCAGCAGUAGGGAAUCUUGCGCAAUGGGCGAAAGCCUGACGCAGCGACGCCGCGUGCGGGAAGAAGGCCUUCGGGUUGUAAACCGCUUUCAGGAGGGACGAAGCCACUCGGGUUAAUAGCCCAGAGGGUGACGGUACCUCCAGAAGAAGCCCCGGCUAACUACGUGCCAGCAGCCGCGGUAAUACGUAGGGGGCAAGCGUUGUCCGGAUUCAUUGGGCGUAAAGAGCGUGUAGGCGGCCAGGUAGGUCCGUUGUGAAAACUCGAGGCUCAACCUCGAGACGUCGAUGGAAACCAUCUGGCUAGAGUCCGGAAGAGGAGAGUGGAAUUCCUGGUGUAGCGGUGAAAUGCGCAGAUAUCAGGAAGAACACCUAUGGCGAAGGCAGCUCUCUGGGACGGUACUGACGCUGAGACGCGAAAGCGUGGGGAGCGAACAGGAUUAGAUACCCUGGUA
rnacentral:rRNA from 1 species